AUUCAGCUUCGAGUUUAGCUCCCAGUCUUCUUCUUUCCUAGCUGCUGCACUCUGAAUCAGACGAAUUUUCAAUUGGAAUACUAUGUCUGAAUAAGAGGAAGCAAUAAUACUUUGCAUUUCUUAACACCUUCUGUUUGAGGAUCUCAAAGUACAUGAUGAAUAUCAAUGAAUUUAUUCUCAAACCCACUGUGAGGGGAAAGCAGUGAUCCUCUCAUUCCCAAUGAAAGAAAAAUUACACUAGACCCAAGAAAGCAACUUUUCAAAGGCUAUGUUCUCUGCACUGUUAUCUUUUCAAGGCUCUUUAUGUUGUUCUCCUUGAUGUGGAAGAGGUGAAGCACCAAGGAAAAUCAUUGCAUGGAGAAGUUCACUCAUAAACCAAGUUAAAGGUCCUCCAAUUCUAAUUGGAAUUUUGCUGCUCUAGAUGUCAGUGCAGACAUGAAAAGCAUCUGAUGGAAGGGGUGAGGAAAACAGAACUGGCGCCCAGGCCUGUAGAAACGUCAGCAUGACUGACCCAAGGACUUGACUUACUUU